GCCGGAGUAGCUCAGU
rnacentral:tRNA from 1 species